rnacentral:tRNA from 1 species
GUCCGACAAACUGAUGAAGAGCUGACUGUUAAUCAGGGGCUCGUCGGUUCGAGUCCAACUUCGGGCGCCA